GGGCCGGAUGCAAUGCAUCCGAGGGUGAUCAGGGAGUUGGCUGAUGUGAUUGCUGAGCCAUUGGCCAUUAUCUUUGAACAUUCGUGGCAAUCGGGGGACAUCAUGGAUGAUUGGAAAAAGGCAAACAUAGUGCCCAUCUUUAAAAAAGGGAAGAAGGGGAAUCCAGGGGACUACAGACCGGUUAGCCUCUCCUCAUUCCCUGGAAAAAUCAUGAAGCAGGUCCUCAAGGAAUCCAUUUUGAAGCACUCAGAGUAGAGGAAGGUGAUCAGGAACAGUCAACAUGGAUUUACCAAGGGCAAGUCAUCCCU